UACGUAGGGUGCGAGCGUUGUCCGGAAUUAUUGGGCGUAAAGAGCUCGUAGGCGGUUUGUUGCGUCGGCUGUGAAAACUCGGGGCUUAACUCUGAGCUUGCAGUCGAUACGGGCGGACUUGAGUUCGGCAGGGGAGACCGGAAUUCCUGGUGUAGCGGUGAAAUGCGCAGAUAUCAGGAGGAACACCGGUGGCGAAGGCGGGUCUCUGGGCCGAUACUGACGCUGAGGAGCGAAAGCGUGGGGAGCGAACAGG
rnacentral:rRNA from 1 species